rnacentral:rRNA from 1 species
AUACGGAGGAUCCGAGCGUUAUCCGGAUUUAUUGGGUUUAAAGGGUGCGCAGGCGGCCAUUUAAGUCAGCGGUUAAAUCGUGGGGCUCAACCCCAUUCUGCCGUUGAUACUGGGUGGCUUGAUUGCGGUCGAGGUUGGCGGAAUUCGUUGUGUAGCGGUGAAAUGCAUAGAUAUGACGAAGAACACCGAUUGCGUAGGCAGCUGACCGGACCGCAAAUGACGCUCAUGCACGAAAGUGCGGGGAUCGAACAGGAUUAGAUACCCUGGUAGUCCGCACAGUAAACGAUGAAUACUUGUUUUCGGCGAUAUAAUGUCGGAGGCAAAGCGAAAGCGAUAAGUAUUCCACCUGGGGAGUACGCCGGCAACGGUGAAACUCAAAGGAAUUGGCGGGG